GAUGAAGAACGUAGUGAAAUGCGAUACGUAAUGUGAAUUGCAGAAUUCAGUGAAUCAUCGAGUCUUUGAACGCACAUUGCGCCCCCUGGUAUUCCGGGGGGCAAGCCUGUCCGAGCGUCAUUGCUGCCCUCAAGCACGGCUUGUGUGUUGGGCCUCCGUCCUCCUCCCGGGGGACGGGCCCGAAAGGGAGCGGCGGCACCGCGUCCGGUCCUCGAGCGUAUGGGGCUUCGUCACCCGCUCUUGUAGGCCCGGCCGGCGCUUGCCGACACAUCAAUCUUUUUUCCAGGUUGACCUCGGAUCAGGUAGGGAUACCCGCUGAACUUAAGCAUAUCAAUAAGCGGAGGA
rnacentral:misc_RNA from 1 species